rnacentral:RNase_P_RNA from 1 species
UGAGUCAGCCAGGCAAUCGCUGCCACAUUUAUGUGGGGGAGGAAAGUCCGGGCUCCAUCGGGCAGGGUGCCAGAUAACUUCUGGGCGGCGCGAGCCGACGACAAGUGCAGCAGAGAGUAUACCGCCUAAGUACGCAAGUACCGGUAAGGGUGAAAGGGUGCGGUAAGAGCGCACCGCACAGCUGGUAACAGUUUGUGGCAAGGUAAACUCCACCCGGAGCAAGACCAAAUAGGCUUCCAUAACGUAUGGCCCAUAUGGGAAGCGGGUAGGUUGCUUGAGUCAAUUAGCAAUGAUUGACCUAGAGGAAUGAUUGUCCAAGACAGAACCCGGCUUACCGGCUGACUCAACUU